rnacentral:lncRNA from 1 species
GCCUGUUCAAAGUGUGGAACCUGUAAAUCAGGGCUUGUUGUUUGUUGCUGUGUAACAUAUUUGUCUUUCAUUCAUUACUUUGUUCAUAAAUUGAUCAUACUUGACUAUGCCAUAUGGGUUUUGCUCAUGUUUGAAUGCUGUAUGGUAACAUAAUGUUACUAAUUUCUGUGUCAAUUCGUCUCUUGUGGAGAGUUGUCUCAUUGGCAUU